GUCUACGGCCAUACCACCCUGAACGCGCCCAAUCUCGUCAGAUCUCGGAAGCAAAGCAGGGUCGGGCCUGGUUAGUACUUGGAUGGGAGACCGCCUGGGAAUACUGGGUGCUGUAGGCU
rnacentral:rRNA from 1 species